rnacentral:rRNA from 1 species
GGAAUAUUGGUCAAUGGACGCAAGUCUGAACCAGCCGUGCCGCGUGAAGGAUGAAGGCGUUCUGCGUUGUAAACUUCUUUUAUUGGGGAAGAAACCUGGUUAUUCUUAGCCAGCCGACGGUACCCAAGGAAUAAGCACCGGCUAACUCCGUGCCAGCAGCCGCGGUAAUACGGAGGGUGCAAGCGUUAUCCGGAUUUACUGGGUUUAAAGGGUGUGUAGGCGGACUUUUAAGUCAGCGGUGAAAUCUCCGGGCUCAACCCGGAAACUGCCAUUGAUACUAUUGGUUUUGAAUGUUGUUGAGGUGGGCGGAACGGGUCAUGUAGCGGUGAAAUGCAUAGAUAUGACCCGGAACACCGAUUGCGUAGGCAGCCCACUAAGCAACGAUUGACGCUGAGGCACGAAAGCGUGGGGAUCAAA